rnacentral:piRNA from 2 species
UGCUUUAUAUCUGCUUAGCUAAUCCAUAAA